CAAGCUAUGACGAUGAUCUUAGUAGUUUAAGCUCAGCCUUUUAAUUAUUGGCUACCUAGAUCAGAGAUUUUAAGAUGAAUUAUUAUUUUACAGAACGAAUGAGCCAAAAACAGCAUAUUUGAAGGUGAAGAUCUACAGCUCUACAAUCUGCUUGCCGCCUUCUCUGUUGCAGUGUGCACUGCCUGAGUCUACCGCUGUCUUCUCACUUCAGAUUUGAGUAAGUCUGCUUGAAGACAUGGAGGGAUCACUGCGUCUGCAUCAUUUAUCAGAGGGAGAUUCUGCCGAGAAAUGAAUCUCAGAUCCUUCAGAGUUGGAGGGGAGGAUGGUGGAGUAUCGGGCAGAAGGCUGCCAAGCCAGUGACCACAGUUCAAGACUGCGUCACAACAUAUGACUGGAUAUUUUGAAGGAGACCUCGGGACAUCUCAGGCCGUGUUUGUGGUGACCAAAGCCGGCAUUUCAAUCCAGAACACCAUCUUCUCCUGACACUAACCAAGUGGCUCCGGUGCCUCAACCUUACCAGACCAUAAGCACAGUCUUCUGAAAAGAUAAAACUGAAAGAGGAACCUAAAGAAAAGUUGCAACAAGAGGACGUUUUAAAGUUGCAACAUAUCUGCCAUUUGCAGAAAACAUUCACUGCCGGCAUUUGUUCUGUAGCCAGCGGUGGCCCCAGAGGGAAUCCAACUUCUCCACCUGGCAGUUUUGACUCUGUGAUCUAGCGGUGGAGUAGCCCAGGCCCACACCCCUUCUUGUUAACAGUUUUCAGUGUAAAUCAAUAAUGCAUGCUUGCUGCCAGGCUCGGUGCUUAGCGGUGAUUUCCCGGACUGGCACACCCAGGAGAAGGCAGGCAGGCAGCUGGAGAGCAAUUUCUUUACAUCGCAGAUGAUGAUGUCCCCUGUGAAGCAGCCGUGCAGGACGCCAGCGGGGGGAAAGGGUCCAGCUGCGAUAUGUCACGAUUUCUCCCUGUGAAGUCAAAGCUAGAGAUGACUAGAAUCAAAAUACAUAUUGUAAUAUUGUAAGGCUCACACUGUAUUAUUUAUGGGAUAAAAGAUGAGGAAGUCAAGGUUGCAUCAUCUGAAACAGGUAUGUAAAUAAAUGUGUUUGCAUGAUCGUU